GAGGCCGAAAGGCGUAGUCGAUGGGAAACAGGUUAAUAUUCCUGUACUUGGUGUUACUGCGAAGGGGGGACGGAGAAGGCUAUGUUGGCCGGGCGACGGUUGUCCCGGUUUAAGCGUGUAGGCUGGUUUUCCAGGCAAAUCCGGAAAAUCAAGGCUGAGGCGUGAUGACGAGGCACUACGGUGCUGAAGCAACAAAUGCCCUGCUUCCAGGAAAAGCCUCUAAGCAUCAGGUAACAUCAAAUCGUACCCCAAACCGACACAGGUGGUCAGGUAGAGAAUACCAAGGCGCUUGAGAGAACUCGGGUGAAGGAACUAGGCAAAAUGGUGCCGUAACUUCGGGAGAAGGCACGCUGAUAUGUAGGUGAAGUCCCUCGCGGAUGGAGCUGAAAUCAGUCGAAGAUACCAGCUGGCUGCAACUGUUUAUUAAAAACACAGCACUGUGCAAACACGAAAGUGGACGUAUACGGUGUGACGCCUGCCCGGUGCCGGAAGGUUAAUUGAUGGGGUCAGCGCAAGCGAAGCUCUUGAUCGAAGCCCCGGUAAACGGCGGCCGUAACUAUAACGGUCCUAAGGUAGCGAAAUUCCUUGUCGGGUAAGUUCCGACCUGCACGAAUGGCGUAAUGAUGGCCAGGCUGUCUCCACCCGAGACUCAGUGAAAUUGAACUCGCUGUGAAGAUGCAGUGUACCCGCGGCAAGACGGAAAGACCCCGUGAACCUUUACUAUAGCUUGACACUGAACAUUGAGCCUUGAUGUGUAGGAUAGGUGGGAGGCUUUGAAGUGUGGACGCCAGUCUGCAUGGAGCCGACCUUGAAAUACCACCCUUUAAUGUUUGAUGUUCUAACGUGGACCCGUGAUCCGGGUUGCGGACAGUGUCUGGUGGGUAGUUUGACUGGGGCGGUCUCCUCCUAAAGAGUAACGGAGGAGCACGAAGGUUGGCUAAUCCUGGUCGGACAUCAGGAGGUUAGUGCAAUGGCAUAAGCCAGCUUGACUGCGAGCGUGACGGCGCGAGCAGGUGCGAAAGCAGGUCAUAGUGAUCCGGUGGUUCUGAAUGGAAGGGCCAUCGCUCAACGGAUAAAAGGUACUCCGGGGAUAACAGGCUGAUACCGCCCAAGAGUUCAUAUCGACGGCGGUGUUUGGCACCUCGAUGUCGGCUCAUCACAUCCUGGGGCUGAAGUAGGUCCCAAGGGUAUGGCUGUUCGCCAUUUAAAGUGGUACGCGAGCUGGGUUUAGAACGUCGUGAGACAGUUCGGUCCCUAUCUGCCGUGGGCGCUGGAGAACUGAGGGGGGCUGCUCCUAGUACGAGAGGACCGGAGUGGACGCAUCACUGGUGUUCGGGUUGUCAUGCCAAUGGCACUGCCCGGUAGCUAAAUGCGGAAGAGAUAAGUGCUGAAAGCAUCUAAGCACGAAACUUGCCCCGAGAUGAGUUCUCCCUGACCCUUUAAGGGUCCUGAAGGAACGUUGAAGACGACGACGUUGAUAGGCCGGGUGUGUAAGCGCAGCGAUGCGUUGAGCUAACCGGUACUAAUGAACCGUGAGGCUUAACCUUACAACGCCGAAGGUGUUU
rnacentral:rRNA from 1 species